rnacentral:rRNA from 1 species
UACGGAGGAACCGAGCGUUAUCCGGAUUUAUUGGGUUUAAAGGGAGCGUAGGUGGAUUGUUAAGUCAGUUGUGAAAGUUUGCGGCUCAACCGUAAAAUUGCAGUUGAAACUGGCAGUCUUGAGUACAGUAGAGGUGGGCGGAAUUCGUGGUGUAGCGGUGAAAUGCUUAGAUAUCACGAAGAACUCCGAUUGCGAAGGCAGCUCACUGGACUGCAACUGACACUGAGGCUCGAAAGUGUGGGUAUCAAACAGG